AACGAACGCUGGCGGCAUGCUUAACACAUGCAAGUCGAACGAGACCUUCGGGUCUAUUUGCGCGCGUGUGCUUAACGCGUGGUAACCUGCCCUUAGGUUCGGAAUAACUCCCCUUAGGGUGUGCUAAUACCGGUGAGUGUCUUCGGACCAACGAUUUAUCGCCUUUGGCUGGGGCCGCGUUGGUUUAGCUAGUUGGUAGGGUAAAAGCCUACCAAGGAGAGGAUGCAUAGCUGGUCUGAGAAGAUGAUAAGCUGGAAUGGGACUGAGACCCGGCCCAGACCCGUACGGGAGGGAGCAGUGGGGAAUAUUAGACGAUGAACGAAAGCCUAAUCAAGCAAUGCGGCGUGAGUGAGGAAGGCGUUAGGAUUGUACAGCUCUCUUACACGAAAUGAUAAUGACAGUAACGGGAGAAGAAGCUCCGGCUAACUCCGUG
rnacentral:rRNA from 1 species